rnacentral:tRNA from 1 species
AGUUUUAUAGUUUAUAUUAAAAUAUUAAAUUGCAAGUUUAAUGAAUGUUUAAGACUUACCUA